GAGAACUAUUAUUCCGAUGAAUCAAAUGAUAGGGUAACGCCUUAAAGGGUUCACUCGAUACCGAACUGCGUGGGAAUAUGUAAGAGUCGAAGCGUAGUAAGCUCGGUGUAAAAGUGGGAGAGCUUAUCGUAACAGAAGAAGCUGACGAAAGACUUUCAGAGGUGAAAGUUGUAGGUCAUACCACAAGAGUCGAGCGG
rfam:Bacillus thuringiensis serovar pakistani str. T13001 contig02130, whole genome shotgun sequence.